UACGUAGGGUGCAAGCGUUAUCCGGAUUCACUGGGUUUAAAGGGUGCGUAGGCGGGUUGGUAAGUCAGUGGUGAAAUCCCCGAGCUUAACUUGGGAACUGCCAUUGAUACUAUUAAUCUUGAAUACCGUGGAGGUCGACGGAAUAUGUCAUGUAGCGGUGAAAUGCUUAGAUAUGACGUAGAACACCAAUGGCGAAGGCAGUUGACUGCGCGAGUAUUGACGCUGAGGCACGAAAGCGUGGGGAUCAAACAGG
rnacentral:rRNA from 1 species